rnacentral:miRNA from 1 species
AUCGGGUGGUUCAGAAUUCAUAUC